UACGGAGGAGGCAAGCGUUAUCCGGAAUUAUUGGGCGUAAAGCGUCCGCAGGUGGCACCUCAAGUCUGCUGUCAAAGACCGGGGCUUAACCCCAGAAAGGCAGUGGAAACUGAAGUGCUAGAGUGCAGUAGGGGUAGAGGGAAUUCCCGGUGUAGCGGUGAAAUGCGUAGAGAUCGGGAAGAACAUCGGUGGCGAAGGCGACUACCUGGCCUGUUUCUUGACGCUGAGGCGCGAAAGCUAGGGGAGCAAACGGG
rnacentral:rRNA from 1 species